rnacentral:tRNA from 1 species
GGAAAGAUGCCGGAGUGGUCGAUCGGGGCGGUCUCGAAAACCGUUGUACGCUUUGCGUACCGUGGGUUCGAAUCCCUCUCUUUCCG